rnacentral:rRNA from 1 species
UACGAAGGGUGCAAGCGUUACUCGGAAUACUGGGCGUAAGGCGUGCGUAGGCGGUUCGUUAAGUCUGUCGUGAAAGCCCUGGGCUCAACCUGGGAAUUGCGAUGGAUACUGGCGAGCUAGAGUACGGUAGAGGAUGGUGGAAUUCCCGGUGUAGCGGUGAAAUGCGUAGAGAUCGGGAGGAACACCCGUGGCGAAGGCGGCCAUCUGGACCAGUACUGACGCUGAGGCACGAAAGCGUGGGGAGCAAACAGG